rnacentral:rRNA from 1 species
GACGAACGCUGGCGGCGUGCCUAAUACAUGCAAGUUGAGCGCUGAAGGUUGGUACUUGUACCAACUGGAUGAGCAGCGAACGGGUGAGUAACGCGUGGGGAAUCUGCCUUUGAGCGGGGGACAACAUUUGGAAACGAAUGCUAAUACCGCAUAAAAACUUUAAACACAAGUUUUAAGUUUGAAAGAUGCAAUUGCAUCACUCAAAGAUGAUCCCGCGUUGUAUUAGCUAGUUGGUGAGGUAAAGGCUCACCAAGGCGAUGAUACAUAGCCGACCUGAGAGGGCGAUCGGCCACAUUGGGACUGAGACACGGCCCAAACUCCUACGGGAGGCAGCAGUAGGGAAUCUUCGGCAAUGGACGAAAGUCUGACCGAGCAACGCCGCGUGAGUGAAGAAGGUUUUCGGAUCGUAAAACUCUGUUGGUAGAGAAGAACGUUGGUGAGAGUGGAAAGCUCAUCAAGUGACGGUAACUACCCAGAAAGGGACGGCUAACUACGUGCCAGCCGCCGCAGUAA